rnacentral:rRNA from 1 species
UACGUAGGGGGCUAGCGUUGUCCGGAUUUAUUGGGCGUAAAGAGCGUGUAGGCGGCCAGGUAGGUCUGCUGUGAAAACUCGAGGCUUAACCUCGAGCUGUCGGCGGAAACCAUCUGGCUAGAGUCCGGAAGAGGAGAAUGGAAUUCCCGGUGUAGCGGUGAAAUGCGUAGAGAUCGGGAGGAACACCAGAGGCGAAGGCGGCUAGCUGGACAGUUACUGACACUCAACUACGAAAGCGUGGGGAGCAAACAGG